AGUUGGCGCGGGGAACGGGAGCCGCGGGCUCAAAAGUGCGGCUGCGAGUCAAGCGUGGCCGGACUGUCGGAGGGCUGCUCGCUCUAAAACUCUCUCCUUCAGCUGUUCUUAUGGUCUCUUCACCUCCUCCGAAUCUCUCCGGUGCUCUCUGUCUCUCCUCUCUCUCUCUCUCAAGCUCCCUCUCCGUUCUAUUCCUUCCUCCCCUUGUGGAGUUCUCCC
rnacentral:lncRNA from 1 species